UACCCGCUGGUUUAAGCAUAUCACUGAGCGCAGGAGAAGAAACUAACCAGGAUUUCCCUAGUAACGGCGAGCGAACCGGAAAGAGCCCAGCUUGAAAAUCGUGGCGCCCCGGCGCCUCGAAUUGUAGUCUGGAGAAGGUCCCUCUGCGGCGCGCCGGAUUCAAGUUCCCUGGAAUGGGACGUCCGAGAGGGUGAGAACCCCGUCGUAUCCGGAGUGCGUCGCUCCACGAGGACCUGUCUGCGAGUCGGGCUGUUUGGGAAUGCAGCCCUAAGCGGGUGGUAAAUUCCAUCCAAGGCUAAAUAUUGGCAAGAGACCGAUAGCGAACAAGUACCGCGAGGGAAAGAUGAAAAGGACUUUGAAAAGAGAGUUAAAAAGUGCUUGAAAUUGCUGGGAGGGAAGCGAAUGGAAGCUGCGGGUGCGCCCCGGUUGGAUGCGGAACGGCCGUCAGACGCUGGUCCGCCGCUCAACGCGGGGCGCUGGUCAGCGUGGGCCGUCGCGGCGGGACAAGAGCGGGGAUUCGCUUCCCGCCGAUGCCGCCGCGGUGGCCGAGGAACGAAGCGCGCGCCUUCCGGCGUGGGACUCGUCCCAACUGCGCGCUCGAGACGCUGGCGUAUUGAGCUCUUCAUCCGACCCGUCUUGAAACACGGACCAAGGAGUCUAACAUGUAUGCGAGCCGGUGGGCGGCAAACCCAUUGAGGCGCAAGUAACCUGACAGGUGGGACCCCGACCGCAAGGGAGGGAGCACCAUCGACCGACCGUGAUCUUCUGUGAAGGGUUC
rnacentral:rRNA from 1 species